rnacentral:tRNA from 1 species
GGGUCCGUAGCCUAGUCUGGAUAAGGCGCCGGCCUUCGGAGCCGGAGACCGGGGGUCCAAAUCCCCUCGGACCCGCCA